ACGGCUGAACCAGCAACUUGGGUGAAUGAAUAGCAAUAGCUAAUAACAUCUUAUUAGAAAUAAUAUGUAUGUAAUAUCGACUAUGUCGACUUAAAUUCUGGGUGGGGUAAUGAUAAUGACAUUCCCUAUCUAUGUGUCUUGACCAAAUUACGUGCCAGCAGUCGCGGUAAUACGUAAAAGACUAGUGUUAUUCAUCUUAAAUGGGUUUAAAGGGUACCUAGACGGUUAAUAAAGCCCCUAAAGGGUACGUAUUAACUAGAGUUAUAUGAAAGGGGGCUAUUAGGUACUGUUGAGUGUAAAGAUGAAAUUUAGUCAUACCAGAUGAUAGGCACAGAUUUAGGCGAAGGCAUCUCCUUAUGUAAUAACUGACGUUGAAAGACGAAGGCCUUUGUAGCGAACAGGAUUAGAUACCCCAGUAGUCAUGGCAGAAAAUGAUGAAUGUCAUAGGUUAAAUAUAUAUUUGGUCUAUAAAUGAAAGUGUAAGCAUUCCACCUUAAGAGUAAUUUGGCAACAUUGGAACUGAAAUCAUUAGACCGUAUCUGAAACCAGUAGUGAAGUAUGUUAUUUAAUUAGAUGAUCCACAAAAACCUUACCAUAGAAUAUGAAUUUUUUAAAAUUUAACAAGCGCUGCACGGCUGUCUUCAGUUAAUGUCGUGAGAUUUUGGUUAGUUCCAUAAAUAAACGUAAACCCUUACUUUAUUUUUAUAUAAAGUUGUUCACCGCUAGAUUGGAUGUGAUAAGAGGGACUAAGACAAGUCAUCAUGGCCUUGAUGUAAUGGGCUAUAGACGUGCCACAUAUGCCUAACAAAGGGAUGCUAAAUUGCGAAAUUAAGCUAAUCCCAUAAA
rnacentral:rRNA from 1 species